rnacentral:rRNA from 1 species
GAUGAACGCUAGCGGCAGGCCUAAUACAUGCAAGUCGGACGGGAUUCAGGAGCUUGCUUCUGAUGAGAGUGGCGCACGGGUGCGUAACACGUAUGUAACCUACCUUUAUCAGGGGGAUAGCCUCUCGAAAGAGAGAUUAAGCCCGCAUAAAAUCACAGCACAGCAUUGUGUAAUGAUCAAAUAUUUAUAGGAUAAAGAUGGGCAUGCGGAACAUUAGCUAGAUGGCGGGGUAACGGCCCACCAUGGCGACGAUGUUUAGGGGAUCUGAGAGGAUGGCCCCCCACAAUGGUACUGAGACACGGACCAGACUCCUACGGGAGGCAGCAGUAAGGAAUAUUGGUCAAUGGGCGGAAGCCUGAACCAGCCAUGCCGCGUGCAGGAAGACGGCCCUACGGGUUGUAAACUGCUUUUAUACGGGAAUAAACCCAGAUACGUGUAUCUGGCUGAAUGUACUGUAAGAAUAAGGAUCGGCUAACUCCGUG